AGUGAACGCUGGCGGUAGGCCUAACACAUGCAAGUCGAACGGCAGCACAGUAAGAGCUUGCUCUUACGGGUGGCGAGUGGCGGACGGGUGAGGAAUACAUCGGAAUCUACUUUUUCGUGGGGGAUAACGUAGGGAAACUUACGCUAAUACCGCAUACGACCUACGGGUGGAAGCAGGGGAUCUUCGGACCUUGCGCGAUUGAAUGAGCCGAUGUCGGAUUAGCUAGUUGGCGGGGUAAAGGCCCACCAAGGCGACGAUCCGUAGCUGGUCUGAGAGGAUGAUCAGCCACACUGGAACUGAGACACAGUCCAGACUCCUACGGGAGGCAGCAGUGGGGAAUAUUGGACAAUGGGCGCAAGCCUGAUCCAGCCAUACCGCGUGGGUGAAGAAGGCCUUCGGGUUGUAAAGCCCUUUUGUUGGGAAAGAAAAGCAGCAGGUUAAUACCCCGCUGUUCUGACGGUACCCAAAGAAUAAGCACCGGCUAACUUCGUG
rnacentral:rRNA from 1 species